GUGUAAUUUACUCUUACAGAAAUGGUGMAAGCGUAUAURRAUGCAUUGCCAAGUUUAUCCUCACAAAGACAACGCUCACAAACUCCGUUGACAGAGUUCUGUAAUCAUAUUCCUGAAUCCUUCUACGGAAAUGAUA